rnacentral:rRNA from 1 species
GAUCAUGGCUCAGAUUGAACGCUGGCGGCAUGCCUUACACAUGCAAGUCGAACGGUAACGCGGGGCAACCUGGCGACGAGUGGCGAACGGGUGAGUAAAGCAUCGGAACGUGCCCAGUAGUGGGGGAUAGCCCGGAGAAAUCCGGAUUAAUACCCCGUAAUAGUAGAACUGGCAUCAGUUUUAUUGAAAGCUCCGGCGGUUAAAGAUGAGUAUGCGUCUGAUUAGCUAGUUGGUGAGGUAACGGCUCACCAAGGCGACGAUCAGUAGGGGAUCUGAGAGGAUUAACCCCCCACACGGAUACUGAGACACGGAUCCGACUCCUACGGGAGGCAGCAGUAAGGAAUAUUGGACAAUGCCCGCAAGGGUGAUCCAGCCAUGCCGCGUGCAGGAAGACGGCCCUAUGGGUUGUAAACUGCUUUUACACCGGAGAAAACCUCCCCUCGUGAGGGGAGCUGAUAGUAUGGUGAGAAUAAGCAUCGGCUAACUUCGUG